rnacentral:tRNA from 1 species
UCUUCGAUGGUCUAGUGGUCAUGAUUUCCGCUUGUCAAUAUCUUCGGAAUUUUCAAGCGCGGGAGACCGGGGUUCGAUUCCCCGUCGGAGAG